rnacentral:rRNA from 1 species
UACAGAGGGUGCUAGCGUUGUUCGGAAUCAUUGGGCGUAAAGGGCGUGUAGGCGGUUUGUUAAGUCAUGUGUGAAAGCCCCCGGCUCAACCGGGGAACGACGCAUGAAACUGGCAAGCUAGAGUCCGGAAGAGGAGAAUGGAAUUCCCGGUGUAGCGGUGAAAUGCGCAGAUAUCGGGAAGAACACCCGUGGCGAAGGCGGUUCUCUGGGACGGUACUGACGCUGAGACGCGAAAGCGUGGGGAGCGAACAGG